AUGGUUAUUGCGGAGAGGUUGUCCGAGGAAGAAAUUGGUGGUUUGAAAUAUUUGUUUGGAGUGACUUUUUGCUAUUCAACAAACUGGUUGGAAAUUUCAUGUAUGUGUGGAGAAUUGCAAAUGAUCAUUUCCCGUCGAAGUGGUUAUACAUUAAGACAUUUGAAAGGCAAUGAGCUGAGAACAGAGGUGAAUAAAGUGUUGAAGAUAACUCGAAUGGAAAAUUAA